UGGAUCCAUGCUGAUCGCAAACGCACUAUGCUGGUUUUCUCAUGGCGCGGCUCAUUUAUGAGUUUUCCUGCAUCAUUCCUCGGAUAUAUCAGAUCUAUAUGACUCAAAUUUAAUAUUGGUAUUUGACCAACAUACACAGAGAUGUACAGCAUCAUAAUGAAAAAAAAAGGCUAAGAGGAUUCAUAUCAUAGUUAAUAUCAUAUUAAAGAUACUUACUAUGACCAUGGGAAUUAUGUUUGCGUGAAAGGUAUCUCUCAAUGCGGGUAUAUUUUCGUCUAUUAAACACCGUGAGAUGACUUUUAUGGGUGUAUGACAUAUAUUGAAAAGGCGGUCAAAAACUAUCGCAUACGAUUGAUUAAUCUGCACGUGGUACAUGAUAAAACACAACGAUCAUUUUGAAAUUUCUUUCUAUAUGUAAAUACCCUUUUUACAGUUCUUUAGAGAUAUAUAUAUAGGUGGCAAUUAAAUUGAUGAAAGAAACUUGAACAAAUGACUGCCUUAAAUAUAUCGGGAGAUUUAUUGAUUCAUUGCCAAUUACUGAAUUGCAUGUGUGUAUCCUAUAUUAACGAACAAUAUUAGAGGUGGCGUAUUUCGCAAGCUGGUAAAUUAAUGAGCUGCAAACUCCCAGCGGACCGUAAGAAAAAUAUAGCUAAUUCAAACAUUUUCAGUGAUUGAUCUCAGGAUAAAGAAUUGUACUAGGUUUUUUUUUUUUUUUUUUUUUUUUUUUUUUAAUCCUUGAUCCCCGCCAUUUUUCACCGGCUUGUACAAUUUGGGAUUGACUUGUCAUACAGCUGUGUCAACACUUAAAAAUACUGACAUUUUUCGCUCCCAUUCAUCGGCGGUUUAAUGAUCCUGAAGUGAAAUGAUAUAUAUAACGUGCGCGGAUGCGCAGGCUGGUCUGGAUCCAUGCUGGUCGCAAAGCCAUUAUGUUAAUUUUCUCAUGGCGCGGCUCAUUUGCAAAUCUCUAUCAUCAUGUCUUUAAAAUCAGCAAUAACAUUUUAGUCGUUCCCAAUAAUUGCAUGGGGUCAAAGAAUAGAUAUAUUGUGUUACCCGUCUGUUGUAAAAACAGCCGCCACAGCACAGGUCAAGUGUUAAAACUUUCAGUUAUCUUUCUGAAUCAAUUGCCAACUACAACAUGACUCUCGUCAAAAUCAUUUGCAAUAUGGCCCAGUUUCCUUAAAGGUUAAGUACUAUUCAUAGUAUCCAUUUAAAUGACCCAGUUUCUUUAAAAUUUUAAUACCGUUCACAUUUCUUUAUCUUUGAAGUGACUUGUUAACAAAGAGCUAUGUUUUAUCUUAACGAUUUAUGCAUUUUGAUUUGUCGGCUUAUAACUUCUUAAAGAUACUGAAAGAUGGCAAGUAUGUUUACAGACUUGAUUUUCACUGAGAGUGGAUAAUGAAUUUGGCGUUAAUGGUUUGGGCAUAAGGGAUGGGGAAUCCACAGAGAUGAGGGAAUAUGUUGUAUAAAACGAUAAAUAGAUUGCAUGCGUUCAAAUAAUAAACUCUCGAUAAUAUAUGUAAGCACGAAGCGAACUGACUAUUCUCCGUAACGACAAUCGGAAUUCUCCGGCUUUUUUUUUUGGAAAGUUACGUGCAUGUUGAUCUUUAUUUACGUCCGAAAAUGUCAAAUCAUUGCCUUACGAGAAAAUGUAAUCGCACGGAAAUUGCCGAGUGUUACUGCAAGUCAAUGACGUUAAUAAUGACUGAGAUUUUUAUUAUAAGCAUAUGCUAAAUGUAUGGCUGUCAAACUGUAGUGAUGUCCUGAGCCCCGCUACACCCCUCCAGACCCGCCUACGAAAAUUCUAGAAUGAGCUCUGCGCAUGUAUGUUGAAAUAUGGUAUUUCGAAAUUCACUGAAGUUUUGUAAAUAGUAUUUCAUACUGAACCAUUCCGACAAUAAAGAUGUUAUUUCAAGCAUCCAGUUAGAUAUAUCAAAUUACAAAGGCUAAAUAACAAAUUGUCAAUUUUAUAAUGUAGUAUCUGAUACCUUAUUGUCCUAAAUAUAUAUCACAUAUCUGAUACACUGAAAUUUAAUUCCGCGUUGCAAAAUAUGGAUAAUAUGGAUAAGUUGUUUAUGAAAUAGAAUUAUAUACAACUGUAACAGAUACGUUUAAAUUUUUAGGAACACGUGUAACUUUCCAUUACAAAAUGGCGCUGCUCGUGUAUAGUGCGUAACUAUUGUGUAGAAUAUUUUCAAAAUAUCAGGGGAAGGCCUAAAGCGCUGGGAAUAUAACGCGAACAGGUUGUCCGAGUCUUCAACUCCUGUGCAGGAAUGGAGGACUAUUCCCCAAUGGGUCAUCCGGAACUACGUGCUGUCGACGAGGUAGAGG
rnacentral:lncRNA from 1 species